GAUGAACGCUGGCGGCGUGCCUAAUACAUGCAAGUCGAGCGAACAGAUGAGGAGCUUGCUCCUCUGACGUUAGCGGCGGACGGGUGAGUAACACGUGGAUAACCUACCUAUAAGACUGGGAUAACUUCGGGAAACCGGAGCUAAUACCGGAUAAUAUAUUGAACCGCAUGGUUCAAUAGUGAAAGACGGUUUUGCUGUCACUUAUAGAUGGAUCCGCGCCGCAUUAGCUAGUUGGUAAGGUAACGGCUUACCAAGGCAACGAUGCCUAGCCGAACUGAGAGGGUGAUCGGCCAAACUGGAACUGAGACACGGUCCAGACUCCUACGGGAGGCAGCAGUAGGGAAUCUUCCGCAAUAGGCGAAAGCCUGACGGAGCAACGCCGCGUGAGUGAUGAAGGUCUUCGGAUCGUAAAACUCUGUUAUUAGGGAAGAACAAAUGUGUAAGUAACUAUGCACGUCUUGACGGUACCUAAUCAGAAAGCCACGGCUAACUACGUG
rnacentral:rRNA from 1 species